UUCCCUAAAGGCUAGUAUUACCUUUAGGGAACUUCUGUAACAUGUAACA
rnacentral:ncRNA from 1 species